rnacentral:lncRNA from 1 species
AAAAGCAUGAAGGACAUGCACAAAGUGUGACUAUAUGAUGUGGCAAUGGGGUGUAGUAAGCAAAUGCUCACCUCCCCCUCUAAAAUUUAAUUGGAUUGGGCUUCUACCAAUUCAAUUAAAUUUAUUUCCAACCACACACAUCAAAUAUCCACUUAGUGCAUGUGAAAUUACAAAACUACCCCUAAUACAAAAACUAGUCUAGGUGCCCAAAAAUACAAGGGCUGAAAAAUCCUAUAUUUCUAGGGUACCCUACCUACAAUAUGGAGCCCUAAAUACAAGGACCAUAUAUAAUGACAUCCUAGUCUAAUAUGUACAAAGAUAAUUGGAACCAACCUUGGCCCAUGGGCUCAGAAAUCUACCCUAAGGUUCAUGAGAACCCUAGGGCCUUCUUCAGCAGCUCUAGCCCAAUCUUCUUGGAGCCUCUUGCUCAUGGUUCUAGUGAUUGGUCCCUUCCUAGGGAGGAUUGCAUCAAGUCCCUCAUAUAUCGAGACGCUUAAAAUUGAAAACCAAAGCUCUGAGCAAAUUCAAAUGACAAUAACUUUUGACUCGGAUGUCCGAUUGAGUCAUUUAAUAAUUCGAGACGCUCGAAAUUGAAUACAAAAGCUCUCACUAAAUUUAAAUGAAAAUAACUUUUUACUCGGAUUUCCGAUUGAGUCCUGUAAUAUAUCUAGACGCUCAAAAUUGAAAACAAAAGCUCUGAGCAUAUUCAAACGAAAGAAACUUUUGACUCGGAUUUCCGAUUGAGUCAUUAAAUAAGUCAAGACGCUCGAAAUUGAAUACAGAAGCUCUCACCAAAUUUAAAUGACUAUAACUUUUUACUCGGAUGUCCGAUUGAGUCCCGUAAUAUAUUAAGACGCCCGAAAUUGCAAACAGAGGCUCUGAGCAAAUUCAAACGAUAAUAACUUUUGACUCUGACGUGCGAUUAACUCCCUUAAUAAAUCGAGAAGCUCGAAAUUGAAAAUAGAAGCUCCUAGCAAAUUCAAACGACAAUAACUUUUUACUGGGAUGUCCGAUUGAGUUCCGUCCUAUAUCGAGACGCUUAAAAUUGAAAACCAAAGCUCUGAGAAAAUUUAAAUGACAAUAACUUUUGACUCGGAUGUCUGAUUGAGUCAUUUAAUAAUUCGAGACGCUCGAAAUUGAAUACAGAAGCUCUCACAAAAUUCAAAUGACAAUAACUUUUUCCUGAGAUGUCCGAUUGAGUCCCAUAAUAUAUCGAGACACUCAAAAUUGAAUACAGAAGCUAUGAGCAAAUUCAAACGACAAUAAGUUUUGACUCGGAUUUUCGAUUGAGUCCUGUAAUAUAUCAAGAUGGUCGAAAUUGAAAAUGGAAGUUCGUAAAAAAUGCAAACAAUAAUAACUAUCAACUCGGAUGUCCAAUUGAGUCCCUUAAUAUAUCGAGACGCUGGUAAUGGAAAAUGCAAAUCAUAGAAAAUGCAAAUCGCAAUAACUUUUAACUCGGAUGAUCGAUUGAGUCCCGUAAUAUAUCGAGACGCUCAAAAUUUAAAACAGAAGCUCUGAGCAAAUUAAAACGACAAUAACUUUUGACUCGGAUGUCCGAUAGAGUCAUUUAACAAUUUGAUUCGCUCAAAAUUGAAUAUAGAAGCUGUCAGCAAAUUCAAAUGACAUUAAAUUUUGACCCGGAUGUCCAAUUGAGUCCCUUAAUAAUUCAAGAUGCUCGAAAUUGAAAACAGAAGCUCUGAGCAAAUUGAAACAACAAUAAAUUUUGACUCGGAUGUCUAAUUUACUCCCUUAAUAAUUCAAGACGCUCGAAAUUGAAUAUAGAAGCUCUCAGCAAAUUCAAAUGAUAAUAACUUUUUACAGGAAAGUCCGAUUCAGUCUUGUAGAAUAUCGAGACGCACGAAAUUGAGAACAGUAACUCUAAGCAAAUUCCAACGACAAUAACUUUUUUCUCGGAUGUCCGAUUGAGUCCCUUCAUAUAUUAAGACGCUCGAAAUUGAUAACAGAAGCUCUGAGCAAAUUCAAUUGACAACAACUUUUUCCUCAGAUGUCCGAUUGAGUCCCGUAAUAUAUCGAGCUGCUCGUAAUUGAAUACAGAAGCUGUGAGCAAAUUCAAACGACAAUGAGUUUUGACACGGAUUUUCGAUUAAGUCCUGUAAUAUAUCAAGAUGGUCGAUAUUGAAAAUGGAAGCUCGUAAAAAAUGCAAACAAUAAUAACUAUCAACUCGGAUGUCCAAUUGAGUCUCGUAAUAUAUCGAGACACUGGUAAUGGAAAACGGAAGAUCGUAGAAAAUGCAAAUCGCAAUAACUUUUAACUCGGAUGACCGAUUGAGUCCCAUAAUAAAUCGAGACGCUCGAAAUUGAAAAUAGAAGCUCUGAGCAAAUUCAAACGACCAUAACUUUUGACUCGGAUGUCUGAUUGAGUCAUUUAAUAACUCGAGACACUCAAAAUUUAAUACAGAAGCUGUUAGCUAAUUCAACCGACAAAAACUUUUGACUCGGAUGUCCAAUUGAGUCCCUUAAUAAUUCAAGAUGCUCGAAAUUGAAAACAAAAGCUCUGAGCAAAUUCAAACGAUAAUAAGUUUUUACUGGAAAGUCCGAUUCAGUCAUGUAGUAUAUCGAGACGCACAAAAUUGAAAACAGAAACAUUGAGCAAAUUCAAACGAAAAUAACUUUUUACUCGAACAUCCGAUUGAUUCCCAUAAUAUAUCGAGACGCUCAAAAUAGAAAACAGAAGCUCUAAGCAAAUUCAAAUGACAAUAACUUUUGAGUCGGAUGUCCGAUAGAGUCAUUUUAUAACUCGAGACGCUCAAAAUUGAAUACAGAAGCUCUGAGCAUAUUCAAAUUAGAAUAACUUUUGACUCAGAUGUCUAAUUCAGGCAUAUAAUAAUUCAAGACGCUUGAUAUUGAAUACAAAAGCUCUGAGCAAAUUCAAGCGACAAUAACAUUUUACUCGGAAAUCCGAUUAAGUCUUAUAGUAUAUCGAGAUACAUGAAAUUGAAAACUGAAACUCUGAGCAAAUACAAACGACAAUAACUUUGAACUCGGAUGUCCGAUUGAGUCCCAUCAUAUAUCAAGACGCUCGAAAUUGAAAACAGAAGCUCCAAGCAAAUUCAAAUGACAAUAACUUUUUCCUCAGAUGUUCGAUAGAGUCCCUUAAUAUAUUGAGAUGCCAGAAAUUGAAUACAGAAGCUUUGAGUAAAUUCAAACGACAAUUAGUUUUGACUCGGAUGGUCGAUUGAGUCCCGUAAUAUAUCGAGAUGCUUGAAAAUGAAAAUGGAAGCUUCUAAAAAAUGCAAACAAUAAUAAUUGUCAACUCGGAUGUCCGAUUCAGAAUAGCAAUAUAUCGAGACGCUGGUAAUGGAAAAUGGAAGCUCGUAUAAAAUGCAAAUCGCAAUAACUUUUAACUCGGAUGAUCGAUUGAGUCCCGUAAUAUAUCGAGACGCUCGAAAUUGAAAACAAAAGCUCUGAGCAAAUUCAAACGACAAUAACUUUUGACUCGGAUAUCCGAUUGAGUCAAUUAAUAAUUCGAGACGCUCAAAAUUGAAUACAGAAGCUCUAAGCAAAUUCAAAUGACAAUAACUUUUGACUCGGAUGUCUGAUAGAGUCAUUUUAUAUUUCGAGACGCUCAAAAUUGAAUAUAGGAGCUCUCACCAAAUUUAAAUGACAAUAACUUUUUACUCGAAUGUCCGAUUGAGUCCCGUAAUAUAUCUAGAUGCUCAAAAUUGAAAACAGAAGCUCUGUGCAAAUUCAAGCAAAAGUAACUUUUGACUCAAAUGUCCGAUUGAGUCAUUUAAAAAUUCAAGACACUCGGAAUUGAAUAUAGAAGCUCUCACAAAAUUCAAAUGACAAUAACUUUUUACUCGGAUGUCUAAUUGAGUCCAGUAAUAUAUCGAGACGCUCAAAAUUGAAAACAGAAGCUCUAAGCAAAUUCAAAUGACAAUAACUUUUGACUUGGAUGUCCGAUUGAACCAUUUAAUAAUUCGAGACGCUCGAAAUUGAAUACAGAAGCUCUCAGCAAAUUGAAACAACAAUAAAUUUUGACUCGGAUGUCUAAUUUACUCCCUUAAUAAUUCAAGAGGCUCGAAAUUGAAUAUAGAAGCUCUCAACAAAUUCAAAUGAUAAUAACUUUUUACAGGAAAGUCCGAUUCAGUCUUGUAGAAUAUCGAGACGCACGAAAUUGAGAACAGUAACUCUAAGCAAAUUCCAACGACAAUAACUUUUUUCUCGGAUGUCCGAUUGAGUCCCUUCAUAUAUUAAGACGCUCGAAAUUGAUAACAGAAGCUCUGAGCAAAUUCAAUUGACAACAACUUUUUCCUCAGAUGUCCGAUUGAGUCCCGUAAUAUAUCGAGCUGCUCGUAAUUGAAUUCAGAAGCUGUGAGCAAAUUCAAACGACAAUGAGUUUUGACUCGGAUUUUCGAUUGAGUACCGUAAUAAAUCGAGAUGCUCGAUAUUGAAAAUGGAAGCUCGUAAAAAAUGCAAACAAUAAUAACUGUCAACUCGAAUGUCCGAUUGAGUCCCGUAAUAUAUCGAGACGCUGGUAAUGGAAAACGGAAGAUCGUAGAAAAUGCAAAUCGCAAUAACUUUUAACUCGAAUGACCAAUUGAGUCCCAUAAUAAAUUGAGACGCUCGAAAUUGAAAAUAGAAGCUCUGAGCAAAUUCAAACGACCAUAACUUUUGACUCGGAUGUCUGAUUGAGUCAUUUAAUAACUCGAGACACUCGAAAUUGAAUACAGAAGCUGUCAGCAAAUUCAACCGACAAUAACUUUUGACUGGAUGUCCAAUUGAGUCCCUUAAUAAUUCAAGAUGCUCGAAAUUGAAAACAAAAGCUCUGAGCAAAUUCAAACGAUAAUAAGUUUUUACUGGAAAGUCCUAUUCAGUCCUGUAGUAUAUCGAGACGCACAAAAUUGAAAACAGAAACAUUGAGCAAAUUCAAACGAUAAUAACUUUUUACUCGAACAUCCGAUUGAUUCCCAUAAUAUAUCGAAACGCUCAAAAUAGAAAACAGAAGCUCUAAGCAAAUUCAAAUGACAAUAACUUUUGAGUCGGAUGUCCUAUUGAGUCAUUUAAUAAUUCUUGACGCUCAAAAUUGAAUACAGAAGCUCUGAGCAUAUUCAAAUUGGAAUAACUUUUGACUCGGAUGUCCGAUUCAGUCAUAUAAUAAUUCGAGACGCUUGAUAUUGAAUACAGAAACUCUGAGCAAAUUCAAACGACAAUAACCUUUACUCGGAAGUCCGAUUAAGUCUUAUAGUAUAUCGAGAUACAUGAAAUUGAAAACAGAAACUCUGAGCAAAUUCAAACGACCAUAACUUUAAACUCGGAUGUCCGAUUGAGUCCCAUCAUAUAUCAAGACGCUCGAAAUUGAAAACAGAAGCUCCAAGCAAAUUCAAAUGACAAUAACUUUGAUGCAAGCUCCAUUGGAGCUUGUAGGCCUAGGAUCUUCUUCAUCAAUGGAUUCCUUUGCUUCUUGGAAGAUGAAUGGCAGCGGAAUGAAGAAAGGAAGAGAGAGAGGAGACGCCACUUCAAGGAGAAGAUGAGUCUAGAAGAAGCUCACCACCAUAGGAGGCCAUGGAUAAGAGCUUGGAGGAAGAAGGAGAUGAAUGAAGGGAGAGGGAGAGAAGAGCACGAAAUUUUGUGCUCCAAAUGAGCUUUGAAAUCUGAAGUUUAAUAUUCAAAUGUUCAAAGUUGAAAAAAUGCACACACAUGACCUCUAUUUAUAGCCUAAGUGUCACACAAAAUUGGAGGGAAAUUCAAAUUUCACUUGAAUUUGAAAUUGAAUUUGUGGAGCCAAACUUUGGAGCCAAAAUUUCACUAAUUAUGAUUAGUGAAUUUUAGUUAUGGUUCAGCCCACUAAUCCAAGAUCAAUUCCAAGAUUCUCCACUAAGUGUGCUUAGGUGUCAUGAGGCAUGAAAAGCAUGAAGGACAUGCACAAAGUGUGACUAUAUGAUGUGGCAAUGGGGUGUAGUAAGCAAAUUCUCACCUCCCCCUCUAAAAUUUAAUUGGAUUGGGCUUCUACCAAUUCAGUUAAAUUUAUUUCCAACCACACACAUCAAAUAUCCACUUAGUGCAUGUGAAAUUACAAAACUACCCCUAAUACAAAAACUAGUCUAGGUGCCCUAAAAUACAAGGGCUGAAAAAUC